AUUGGACGCUGGCGGCAGGCUUAACACAUGCAAGUCGAGCGGAGAUGAGGUGCUUGCACCUUAUCUUAGCGGCGGUCGGGUGAGUAAUGCUUAGGAAUCUGCCUAUUAGUGGGGUGCAACAUUCCGAAAGGAAUGAUAAUACCGCAUACGUCCUACGUGAGAAAGCAGGGGAUCUUCGGACCUUGAUCUAAUAGAUGAGCCUAUGUCGGAUUAGCUAGUUGGUGGGGUAAAGGCCUACCAAGGCGACGAUCUGUUGGGGGUCUGAGAGGAUGAUCCGCCACACUGGGACUGAGACACGGCCCAGACUCCUACGGGAGGCAGCAGUGGGGAAUAUUGGACAAUGGGGGGAACCCUGAUCCAGCCAUGCCGCGUGUGUGAAGAAGGCCUUAUGGUUGUAAAGCACUUUAAGCGAGGAGGAGGCUACUGAGACUAAUACUCUUGGAUAGUGGACAUUACUCGCAGAAUAAGCACCGGCUAACUCUGUGCCAGCCGCCGCGGUAA
rnacentral:rRNA from 1 species